GAGCUGAAGAUCGCUGAGAGCAUUCAACCGUCGAAGAACCACCACGUGCUUACAACAGGCAGCCAUUCAGAACUUUAAAGGAAACUCAAAAGUGCUUAGGAGCUCUCAUCCAUCAUCACCACCCAUCAUUUGCAGCUUAAGCCUCCACUAGAUUACAGCUCUACACAUUUCUCGUAAUAAAAAAAUAACUUGCAGAUGGCAACAAUGGAUGAGAUGUGUAAAAUUAUGAUUCUUUCUUCUCUUCAGGCUCUGGUUCCUUCUUCUCCUCGGCGGCCUCUUCAAAUGUCUCUCCCGGGACAAGCUCAGGGACAUCAUCAUCAUCCUGUGCAGCUGCGCUGGCACCAGUCUCAGCACCAGGCACCUGCUUCUGGAACC
rnacentral:lncRNA from 1 species